AAUGGACGAAAGUCUGACGGAGCGACGCCGCGUGGAUGAAGAAGGCCGAAAGGUUGUAAAGUCCUUUUGCUGAUGAAGAAUAAGUGUGGUAGGGAAUGACCGCAUGAUGGCAUUAGUCGGUGAAUAAGCCCCGGCUAAUUACGUGCCAGCAGCCGCGGUAACACGUAAGGGGCAAGCGUUGUUCGGAAUUAUUGGGNGUAAAGGGCAUGUAGGCGGUUUUGUAAGCCUGGUGUGAAAUCCUGGAGCUUAACUCCAGAAUUGCAUCGGGUACUGCAAGACUUGAAUCACGGAGGGGAAACUAGAAUUCCAGGUGUAGGGGUGGAAUCUGUAGAUAUCUGGAAGAAUACCGGUGGCGAAGGCGGGUUUCUAGCCGAUGAUUGACGCUGAGGUGCGAAAGUGCGGGGAGCAAA
rnacentral:rRNA from 1 species